CUAUGGUACAAUUGUAACUCUCUAUGGAUGUUACUAGAUGAGUUCGGACUUCAAUGAAUGAGCCAGACACCAAGUAAGCUGGAUGUUAACGGUUUUAUUCUAUACAAAGUGUGAGCCUCCAACAAGACGCAGCUUGGCUAGUCGACGAACCCCCCACGAGAGAGCGAGACUCCGCGGGAACAUCCCAUAAUAGAGUCAUUGAAAGUUCAAAGGUUACACUACUCCCCCUCUCCCUAAGAAGUGUCCCACUUCUAUUAUGCAUGCAAAAAAAUAUUAAUAAUUCAUAAGCCUAACUAAGCAUUAUAGUAUAAGCAAUCUUCUUAUGGAAUUAACAGCAUUUAUAGCAUUUAUGAAAUUAAAUAUGUAUUGUAUUUAUUUAGCUGGUUGUUCCAUUGGUUGACAUCUGAAGAUAUUCCCUGAGCAAUUGAUGACUCCAUUGAUGAGAUUCUUGGUGACAGGUGACAUCUUCCAGCAUACGAAGUGUUGCGUACGGUGAAGAGAAGCCAAAAAAAAAUAGUGUCCCAAAUAAAAGAAAAACAUGUAGCAUAUGAAUUGCAUAUGUUACAUACUGUAUAUAAAAAAAAUUCCAAAAAUAAAGCAACACAGCAGCAUACGAAUAGCGUACGGUGUAAAAA